rnacentral:rRNA from 1 species
UACGGAGGAUGCAAGCGUUAUCCGGAAUGAUUGGGCGUAAAGCGUCCGCAGGUGGCUAUGUAAGUUUGCUGUUAAAGAGUGAGGCUCAACCUCAUAAGAGCAGUGGAAACUACAUGGCUAGAGUGCGUUCGGGGCAGAGGGAAUUCCUGGUGUAGCGGUGAAAUGCGUAGAUAUCAGGAAGAACACCGGUGGCGAAAGCGCUCUGCUAGGCCGCAACUGACACUGAGGGACGAAAGCUAGGGGAGCGAAUGGG